rnacentral:rRNA from 1 species
AUUGAACGCUGGCGGCAUGCUUUACACAUGCAAGUCGAACGGCAGCGGGGUAGUGCUUGCACUACUGCCGGCGAGUGGCGAGCGGGUGAGUAAUAUAUCGGAACGUACCGAGUAAUGGGGGAUAACCAAUCGAAAGAUUGGCUAAUACCGCAUACGUCCUGAGGGAGAAAGCGGGGGAUCGCAAGACCUCGCGUUAUUCGAGCGGCCGAUAACUGAUUAGCUAGUUGGUGGGGUAAAGGCCUACCAAGGCGACGAUCAGUAGCGGGUCUGAGAGGACGAUCCGCCACACUGGGACUGAGACACGGCCCAGACUCCUACGGGAGGCAGCAGUGGGGAAUUUUGGACAAUGGGGGCAACCCUGAUCCAGCCAUGCCGCGUGUAUGAAGAAGGCCUUCGGGUUGUAAAGUACUUUUGUUAGGGAAGAAAAGGGAAGUGCUAAUACCACUUUUUGCUGACGGUACCUAAAGAAUAAGCACCGGCUAACUACGUG